rnacentral:rRNA from 1 species
GCGCUGAUGGAUGAGCUCGCGUCGGAUUAGCUUGUUGGUGAGGUAAAGGCUCACCAAGGUGACGAUCCGUAGCUGGUCUGAGAGGAUGAUCAGCCACACCGGGACUGAGACACGGCCCGGACUCCUACGGGAGGCAGCAGUGGGGAAUCUUGGACAAUGGGGGCAACCCUGAUCCAGCCAUGCCGCGUGUGUGAAGAAGGCCUUCGGGUUGUAAAGCACUUUCAGCAGGGAGGAAGGCUUACCCCUAAUACGGGUGAGUACUUGACGUUACCUGCAGAAGAAGCACCGGAUAAUUCG